CAUCCACUCCUUGGGCCUCAUAUGACCUUAUGCAGUUGCGAGCGCCGUAAAACCUCUUCUAAAACUAAAACUAUUCCUCAAGUGAUUCAGUCUCUUGCAGUUUCAGAAAUUUACCUCUUAUGUAAUUGCCUUUGGGUGAUAGGGAAGAUUUUGGAAGUAGUUGUGCACCCUUGUUUGCGCAUAGAUGGGAGAGAAAAAGAUUGUUUCUUUUCUCUAAAACUGCGGAACCAUCUUUCAAAUUUACUACCAUCGGAAUUUUCCAAGCAAGAGAGAUUAGUUUAGAAUACUCACAAGUGAAUGUCUGGAACUUUAAAAAAAUGUCAACUCAAAUAAUCUGUCUGGCCUGAAAAGCUACUCAAUUUCAGCAUGCGUGUAUUGGUCUCUAAAAUGCUACUUCAGCUCUUGUAGGAAAAUUAAUGUUGAGAUGACAAGUAAAAUCUUUAUGAGAUGAUUGUUGGUCAAAAGUAAGUAAUGAGCAGUCUGCCUUUAAUUUGAAAACUGUGGGAUGAUAUUUUUCCUUCUAUUCUGGUUUAGUGACAAAACAUUGUCGUGACAGAGAAACAGAUUUGGAAAGAAUUUCAUAUGUAACCUAUUUGCAUCAUCAUUAGCACUGUUUUGUUGUCAAGGUUGAUGAAAAAUUGCUUCAAAAUUAGAAUAUUUGUUCUAUGUAAACUGUUUGAAUAUUCUCCUAUUAUUACCAUUGUCAUUGUCAUAUCACUUGAUUUUUGAUAUCUCAAGAUUAUUUAUUUCGUAUGAAAAUUUUUUAUGCAACUUGAUGCUAAACGGUCCGGUGUGAGGUGCUGUCUUUCAAUUUUCCCACAUAGCAUUGAGAGAUAUCACUUGUCUACAUUUUUUUAAAAGCAUUUUUUUUUUCAUUAUUCUCAAAAUAUUGUUAAACGGCUGUAGAACAAUAACUCCCAGUAAUGCCAAAAUAGAUUCUAUUAUGUGUUUUAAAUCAUACUUUUAACAGAAUUCAUCAAAAUUGAAUUAUGGUGUAAGUAUCUGAAAUAGGGUAUAAUAAAAGAAUGUGGUGAUAGUCAAAAUUAUUUCGGUAGUGGGAACAACAGGAAUUUAAAAAAUGUAAAACUUACCCCAGACUCUUGUUGGAGACUAAGAAACGAGGGGAAGAAGAACGCAAAAGAAGAUGAAGAAUGCUUUUGGUUCAUAUCUUUUGUUCUUAAUAGGUUAUCUGAAUUACUAAUUAUAUAGAUAACCUAUCACAGAUUUUUAAAAUAUGUUAUGACGUCAGAUAUCACAGUGAAUUAGAAUGAUGUGUACUGAAUUUACUAGUAAUUGAUGGAAACUGAAAGAGGAAUGGCAAAUGAUUCUAAUGCUAGAGCAUUUGAGUUCUCUUCACUUUGUCUGUGUAAAAAUUCUGCUUUCUCGUUUGUUGUGCCUGGUGUCUUAAUGACAAGAGCAGCAUCUGCCUUAGGGAACUUUGUCUUGUACUAAGUGUGCAGUUCCUGCAGGCUAAGGGUCACGAAGGUUCUGACCCCAGUCCCCGAAUGAAUUUUUUAAACAACAAUGUAUGGAGGAGAAUGAUAGCAGGCUGUUCAAAAACUUUGCAAACACCUUUAGAUGGAGUUGUUAAGUUUUUGUUUCUUUUGUUUUCGCUUUCAAUUCGAAUGAAGUUGUUUCAAUGUGCUUAAAAACAUUUUUUUUUUUUUACUCUACUAAGUUUUUCUGGCUUUGUAUUAUUUCAAGUACGUUUUACUCUUGUAUGUUAGAAUUGAAGUUUUCUUGUUUAUUACUAAGUGCACCGUUCAGGUUUAGCCUCUGUGUAGUAUUACGUUACUACAUACACUAAAUGCACUGUUCAGGUUUAGCCUCUGUGUAGUAUUACGUUACUACAUACACUAAAUGCCUGUUCAGGUUUAGCCUCUGUGUAGUAUUACGUUACUACGUAUACUAAGUGCACCGUUCAGGUUUUGCCUCUGUGUAGUAUUAUGUUACUAUGUGCACUCACUGACUGUUGUCAAAUAUACUUUUAGAUGAUUAGCGAUUACUCGUAGUCUGUCUUAGGCAUUCUGAAGAUAUUACUUUGUUGGUUUCAGGUUAAAAGUUUUGAAAGCAAUAUUUUUACAAUCAUUAUUUUUAUGAGCAAGAGCUUACCCACUUCCUGUUGUAUGAAUUAAGUUGCAACACAGCAUGUUUAUUUACACACGCACACACAUACAUAUAAAAUAUAUUUCCCUGGCCAGUUGUUCAGAUGUGAGAAGCCCAAAAUUAGGAACAUUUUUCAAAGCAGUUUCUUUAUCUGUGGUAUUGGUUGCAUGAACUAAGCAAUAUUUUAUUGAAAUUCAGAUUCUAAGUGCUUAAAAAAAAUGAUUUUGGUACAGUUGUUAAAAGAAUGAAACAUCUUUUUUCUCUCUCUUGAAAACUUUGCUUUGUGGGCUUAGUUCAUGUGCACAGCAUGCUGAUGAUAUUCACAAUAUGUAUAGAUAUAUUUAUUCAUUUAAAGCACCUUUUAUUAACCAGAGGAUGUCAAAUGGCUUAGGAAUGUGAAAAUUUUACUUGUUGUCGCGGGUAGCCUGUAAUCUUCCUUGAGUUCUCCAUUUGUCUCAAGUAGGCCUACUCAUUGUCUAGAUGGUUGUGUAAAAUGAUGUAGAUGAUAUUAUUGCCAGUUCUUUUAUUUUUGUACUUGUGUGAAGAUAGAACCACUAUAUGAGCAUUGCCGUUUGCAUGGUUUAUGAUACUUAUAUUUGAUUGUCCCUUGAGUUUUGUGUGGCCUCGAAGCAUCUAAUGACCUGUCAACAUAAUUUGGUCUUGGUGUUCUCAUAGCAUCUUUUACUCUCAGACUUUAUUUCUGUCAAAUACCUUCUGUGCUUUAUUGCUGAAACAGUGCUGUUUAAAAAAUAUUUUCUUCAACGCUGCUGUUUAAAAAAAAAAAUUUCAUUACAGGGAUAUGACAUCAUGUUCAUUUUCAUUUUGAAAAGUCUUGAAAGCAUGAUGGGUGGUUGUCUUAAUAAUUGUUAGUGGUGCCAUUUUUCUAGAAUGGGGCAUAGUAGGAGGAGGCUGCCUGGACCUGGAAAAGAGUCAUAGAGAAUGGUGUAGAGAAAAGUUUAAACACAUGGAAUAAUGUUAUGAAACUAGUAGGGAAAAGUGGAAAGCAUUUGUCAGUGGCCUGUACCUCGAUCCAGGGAGAGAAAGACAAUGAUGAUGAUGAUUAUCAGUAGGAGGAAAGGCAAUACUGAAAUCCAAAUAUAUUUGAAUGUCUAUGUCGCAUACAGAACCUGUAUUUUCUGAGUAAGUUUUCAUUGCCCACGUAGUUUUUGUACUUUUGUCUUCCUACUGUAAUGUCCAAUCAGAUGUCUUGGGUCAUGGUUGUGUUUGCAAGUUUCUGUAUUGUCAGUGAUGAUGAUGAUGAUGAUACUCUCCCUAUACUGUCAGGUACGUAAAGCGGAGAGCAUUUGACACCACACUUGCUUGUGAGCAAAUAAGGCUGGGACGUACACACAGCAUGUAUUUAUCUUGCAGACAUGUGCUUGACCAUCUUGCUUGCACAAUUUCCAUUGCUAUUUCAGUUUAUAAAUCUGUUUUUCUUUUUGUCCUUGUGCCAUAGAUGUCCUUGAUUUUUAUUUAUUUAUUUUUUAAAAUUCUCAUAUCUUGUCAGUGUAUCAGGUAUGUUCUAUAGCCUCGAACAGUGGAAAUUUCUUUACUUGAUGAUAUAUGACUAGGUCUUUUUUUUUUUUGUGGGUAAAACUCAAUCUAUUGUCUUUAAACCACAAUUUUUUUAAAGUAGAAAAACGACUGACGUGACUUUCUCUUGACUGUCACAAAUCCCGAUUACUUCAGUCCCAUCUAUCCAUUUUGUUCUAUUUUCUAUGACUAUGAAACACAUUGGUUGAUCUUGCUUUUUGUAUGUAGGUAAAACGAUUGUGUUUGAUGCUAAAUGUGUAAUGUGAAGGAAUUGACUCUCCCACGCGGUAAUGUGUCGCCUUUCUUCUGGUGUCUGCAGCUGGUGGUCUGUUGGCCUAUAUUUUUGUAACUGUACUGAGUAGAAUGUCCUUUGUCUAAAGAAAAUGUGAUCCUUAUCCUGCCUAGCACAAGGAAAAGUCUCAUUGUGUUUAUAAGAAUCAUUGUAAACUGACUUGAGGUGAGGAUGUGGCAUUGUUGGAAACUCAAAGCUUUGGAACUGUUUGAAAAAGGUAAAACUAACACCCCCCCCCCCUGAAAAAACAAACAAACAGCAACAAAAAAACCCAACAAUUUUUACACCAGAAUAUAAUAUUUAACAAAGAUGACUUUUAUUUAUGCUUCAGUUACAGAC
rnacentral:lncRNA from 1 species